rnacentral:misc_RNA from 1 species
GAUGAAGAACGUAGCGAAAUGCGAUAAGUAAUGUGAAUUGCAGAAUUCAGUGAAUCAUCGAAUCUUUGAACGCACAUUGCGCCCGCCAGUAUUCUGGCGGGCAUGCCUGUUCGAGCGUCAUUACAACCCUCAGGCCCCCGGGCCUGGCGUUGGGGAUCGGCGGAGCCCCCCGUGGGCACACGCCGUCCCCCAAAUGCAGUGGCGGUCCCGCCGCAGCUUCCAUCGCGUAGUAGCUAACACCUCGCGACUGGAGAGCGGCGCGGCCACGCCGUAAAACACCCAACUCUUCUGAAGUUGACCUCGAAUCAGGUAGGAAUACCCGCUGAACUUAAGCAUAUCAAUAAGCAGAGGA